UUUAUAAAAAAUUAUUUAUUAAUUAUUAAUAAAAAGAAUUUUAAUAAAAAUAUUUUUAGUAAUUUUUAAAGAAAAAAUAAAUUUAAUUAUAGAAAAUUAGUAUUGAAAAAGAAAUUUGAAAAAAUUGAAAAUUGCUAAUUUAAAAAUUAAAUUUAAUUAAUUGUAUUUUGUGUUUCAAAGUAAAUUAAAUUAAUAAUUUAAAUUGAUUAGUUUCGAAUUUAUAUGAUUUAAUAAAUUUUUAAAUUUAAUAUGGUAUAAUUAUUUUAAAAUUUUUAUUAGAAAUUAAAAGUUAAUCGUAUAUAAAUUUAUCUAAUUUCUUAAGAAAUAAUUUUAAAUUAUAAAUUAAUUAAUAAUUAAUUUUUUGAUUAAUUAAUUAUUUAAUUAAUUUAUAUAUAAUAAGGGAUAAGCUUUAUUAUAAAUUUUUAAAAAUUUUUAGAAAAAUUAAAAAAAUUUAAGCUUAAAAUUAGUUUUAAUUAAUAAAAAUGUUAUAAUUUAUUUAAUUAAAUAUUAAUAUUUUAAAAAAUUUUAAAUAUUUAUUAAGAUAAAAAGUUUAAUUAAAAAAUUUUUAAAAUAAUGAUUUAAUUAGUAAUUUUUUUUUGUAAAAUUAAUUUUUUAUCAAUAAAUUAAUUUAUAAGAAUUCGGCAAAAAUGAUGUCCACUUGUUUAUCAAAAACAUGUCUUUUUGAAUGAAUAAAAAGUUUAACCUGCCCGGUGAAAAUUUAACGGCCGCAGUAUUCUGACUGUGCAAAGGUAGCAUAAUCCAUUGUCUUUUAAUUAAAGGCUAGUAUGAAUGGUUGGAUGAGAUAUCAACUAUUUUUAUAUUAAUAAAAAUGAAUUUAAAUUUUUAGUAAAAAUGCUAAAAUAAAAAAAUUAGACGAGAAGACCCUAUAAAUCUUUAUUUUUAAUUGAUAAUAUAAAUUUUGAAAAAAUUUAAAUAAAUUAUUUAUUAAAAAUUUUAUUGGGAGGAUAAUGAAAUUUAAAAAACUUUUAUUUUGUUUUAUAAAUAUAAUUAAAUUAUUGAAUAUAUAAUAAUAUUAAAUGUUUAAAAAAUUAAGUUACUUUAGGGAUAACAGCGUAAUUAUUUUAAAGAGUUCUUAUCGAUAAAAUAGUUUGCGACCUCGAUGUUGAAUUAAGAAUUAAUUUAGGUGUAGAAGUUUAAAAUUUAAGUCUGUUCGACUUUUAAAUUCUUACAUGAUUUGAGUUCAGACCGGCGUAAGCCAGGUUGGUUUCUAUCUUUUUUUUAUUUAUAUAUUUUAGUACGAAAGGACCAAAUAUAUUAAUUUUAUUAUUAAAAUAGAUUUAUAUUAAAAUAUUAAU